GCCUACGGCCAUCCCACCCUGAACACACCCGAUCUCGUCUGAUCUCAGAAGCUAAGCAGGGUCUGGCACAGUUAGUUCUUGGAAGGGACAAAUGGAUGACUCAAUGCACUGGAUUUU
ensembl:rRNA 5S_rRNA 5S ribosomal RNA